UAGAGGGUGCGAGCGUUGUCCGGAAUCACUGGGCGUAAAGGGCGCGUAGGCGGCUUUUCAAGCGUGCGGUGAAAGCUCGGGGCUUAACUCCGAGUCUGCCGUGCGAACUGGGAGGCUUGAGUCUGGUAGAGGUCGAUGGAAUUCCGGGUGUAGCGGUGGAAUGCGUAGAGAUCCGGAAGAACACCGGAGGCGAAGGCGGCUUGCUGGGCUUGGUCUGACGCUGAGGCGCGAAAGCGUGGGGAGCGAACAGG
rnacentral:rRNA from 1 species